AUGGCCACCGCAAGUAGUAACCUGCAACUACCGGCAGAACUACCCUACGAUUUUGUGAAGAAAAUUACAAAUGACUUCUCUAAGGAGCGAGAAAUUAGUGACAAUCCAUUUGGAAAACUUUACAAGGGAAUUAAUCCAGAUGAUGGCACAGUGAUUGCUGUGAAGAAACUUCAGGAAAACGCACCAAUGCCAGCUGGCAAGAUAUUUAUAAAUGAGGUUCAGAAUAUUAUGGUGCUCAAACACGCAAACAUUGUAAAAAUGGUUGGAUACUGCAGUGAAACAACAAAGAAAUUGGUGCAGUUCGAUCAUCGAUAUAUUCAGGCAGAUGUUACUGAAAGUGUACUCUGCUAUGAAUAUUUACCUAAAGGGGACCUUGCAAAGAAUCUAUUUGGUAAACUCAUUAUCGAUUGGGAUACACGUUUCAAAAUAAUCAAGGGGAUCUGCAAGGGGUUACGUUAUCUACACAAAUUAGAUAUUCCCAUAAUCCAUAUGGAUCUGAAGCCCGAGAAUAUAUUGUUGGAUGAAGAUAUGGUGCCUAAGAUUGCGGACUUUGCACUCUCUAGAGUCUUUGGCGAAGCACAAACCCGAUUGUGCACACAGACUGUCGUGGGAUCAUAUGGAUAUAUGGCUCCAGAAUAUCUAUACAGGGGUGAAAUCUCAGCGCAAUCAGACAUAUAUAGUUUAGGCCUACUCAUAAUUGAGAUCACCACAGGAGAGAAGAAUUGUCCUGAAACCAACCAACCGUCCGCAAGAAAUUUUAUUGAUAAUGUACAAAAAAAUUGGACAGAGGAUUACAUAACAUUCAAGUACUCAAGUUUAACCCCAGAUUGCCUCAAUCAAGUUAAGCGAUGCAUCAAAAUUGGGCUGGAAUGUGUUACUAUCGAUCGGAAAGGCAGACCCACUAUAGAAAAAAUUAUUGACACCCUCAACGGAAUAAACUGA
rnacentral:rRNA from 1 species